GAUGAACGCUGGCGGCGUGCCUAAUACAUGCAAGUCGAACGGGGAGUAGCAAUCCUCUUCGUGGCGAACGGGUGAGUAACGCGUUGGUACCUGCCCCGAAGCGGGGGAUAACGGACCGAAAGGUCCGCUAAUACCCCAUGUGCUCGGUAACGAGUAAAGGUGAAAACCACUUUGGGAGGGGCCUGCGUCCCAUCAGCUAGUUGGUAAGGUAACGGCUUACCAAGGCGAUGACGGGUAGGGGACCUGAGAGGGUGGCCCCCCACAAUGGAACUGAAACACGGUCCAUACACCUACGGGUGGCAGCAGUAGGAAAUAUUGGUAAUGGGCGCAAGCCUGAACCAGCAACGCCGCGUGUGCGAUGACGGCCUUCGGGUUGUAAAGCACUUUUGACUGGGACGAGGAAGGACGGUACCGGUCGAAUCAGCCUCGGCUAACUACGUG
rnacentral:rRNA from 1 species